rnacentral:rRNA from 1 species
UACGUAGGUGGCAAGCGUUGUCCGGAAUGACUGGGCGUAAAGGGCGUGUAGGUGGACCGAUCAGUCGGGUGUGAAAGCUCUGGGCUUAACCCAGAAAUUGCAUUCGAUACGGUCGGUCUUGAGUGCAGGAGAGGGCAGUGGAAUUCCCAGUGUAGCGGUGAAAUGCGUAGAGAUUGGGAGGAACACCAGUGGCGAAGGCGGCUGCCUGGACUGUAACUGACACUGAGGCGCGAAAGCGUGGGGAGCAAACAGGAUUAGAUACC